AAAAAGGGACAUGAUGAGCAAUCCUGGUGAUGCUGAAACCCUUGCUACUCAGUUGCUAUGAUAUAUCUCAAAAGCACUGAAAAUUUUACCAGACUCGAGUCUUCUUUCACAUGCAAUCCCACCCUAUACGUUGAGGAUUAAAAUUUUUCCAAUUUUGAUGAAAAGUAUCAGAGCAUCAACCACA